rnacentral:misc_RNA from 1 species
AUUUUACAAAAUAAACGGAGCCCUAAAUCUCAAAUAAAUUUUAUUAAAAAAAAGGAAGGAUCUACUAAGUCCCAAAUAAAUUUAGAAUUAAAAUUUACUUGAGAAUAAGGGAAUAUCAAAAUGGAAUGAUAUUAUCACUCCUUCCAUGAAGGAUUUCUGGGGAUCCCAUGGUCAAACCCAUCAUUUUCCAGGGUCAUAUUCCUCCCUUUUUCUUCCCAAGAAGCAAGGAACUUUCUCAAACAAUGAAUUUGUAGUAGCUUCAAAUCUUCUUGUUAUGCCAUUGCUUGGAAAAUCUUGCUAAACUAGAAAUCAAUCAGAUGCUCUUAGAUCCCAACCAGAUUUACCUCUCACCGCAAGCAUUAUUAACAUUCUAGUGCAGUGCUUCUCUGAGCAAUUCUAACCAAAGUAUUUGGGUUUUCAUCAUUCCAUUUUCCUAAAAGCAGUUCACAUAUUCAAUACAUAACAAGCAAAAUUGGAGUGUAAAACAAAGAGAGACGGAAUCUGCAAAUGAUUAUUAAAAGGGAUACGGUUGGAAACCAAAGUUGGAUAGAUGCAAGAACAUUAUAAACCUUGCACAAUAUAUAAUAAAAUUUUGUGGUCUCUUAAGGACCCAUAAUGAACUUAAUCUCUUGCAAAACACCAAGUGGACACAACACGCUGCACGUGAACAUUUCCUGAGACGAGCAAACUUCUGGUAUAUGCUUACCAAGAGCAAGAUGUAUCCUCUUCUUCAGGCAUCACAGGAGACCUGCAAAGUGGACAUGUAAUAUUCCAGUAAUCCAACCACUUCUCCAAGCACACCUUAUGAAAAAGAUGGCCGCAAGAUAAGCAGUUGAUCUCUGAUUCUGGCUCAAAUUGAGUCAAGCAAACUGAGCAGUCAUGCUCAGGCUGUUUACAGCUACACACUGCAUCAAAUCGCGUUGCAGGACUCCUGCUCCGAAACUCCUUAAUGUAGGUAUCUGAUGGAGUUAAACGAAAUUCAACUGAUUCUGUGGGGCCUUCACGGUAAUCUGAUGAGGGGGUUGAAGAUGAUGAGGAGAAGGAUGAUAAACGGAUGCCAACAAUACGAAGGAUUGACCGGACUAUGCCUUUGAAAAUGGAGACUGAUAAGGCAUAGUUUACCAACAGCAAGCAUAGUACUCCUUCAGAUGGGGCUGGAAGGCUUGAGAGACCCAUUUUCUUGGAUCAAUUGAAAGUUAUGGAAGUAAAAGGGAGGAUUUUGAUCAAUCACAGAGAAGAUAAUCAGGAAUGGAACAGAAGUUUUCCCUUUUUUCUUGAUGCUUUUUCUGAUAUACAUCAAAGGGGGAGUUAGAAUACCGUACAAAAUAGAAAACCAUGGACAAGUAUCAACUAAACAGGGAAGGAAGAAACAUAUUGUAUAAAACAGAUAAUAAUAAUAAAUGAUUGAUCAAUUACCUUGUGUGUUUCAGUAGUCUUAUUGAAUAUGAUAAAGGAUGAGGUUAAUAUCCUGUUAAAGAGGCCAAAAGGCUGACCUGCCAUAAACCCAGAACAUAACAGAGAAAUGAGAUUAGAGAAACGCAGAAAAGGGGUAGUUAAUCCCCUCAAGAACUCUACAAACAUGUUACUUUUAAUGCCGAUGAAACAGUAUCAAUUGGGUUGGAGCCUACAGAAUGCAAGACAUCCUUCAACAGGCAGCAAGAACUGACAAAAUUACUUAAAAUAAGUUGUCCCUAUAAAAGAAUUGGAUAGACUAGUCUUGAAGCAGUAGACUAGUCUUGAAGCAAUAAAAUCUCUCAAUCAAACGAAUGAAAGCAGCCAAAUUAGGCUACCUUGUUUUGUACCAUCUGAUUUAAUAUUUUGACAGAGACAAAUCCUAGAAAUCAUCAAAUUCAUUAUAAAGAUAUAUCCUUGCUCAGGUGAUAGUUUAAAAUUGAAGAUCAAAAUCAUAACGAAAGGUAAAGAAAUAUGAAGCAUAAAGAAAUACAAGCUCAAAUUCAUACAAUUUAAAAUGAAUUCACUGAACCAAUAUAAAACCCAUUAAGCUAAUGCAUCAAAGAGUGAUAUGAGAUCUAGCAUUUUCACACAAAUCCAAAGAUAUGAUCUUUAUCUUAAUAACGUAGAAUUUUAACAUUUGAAAGAAAACCCAGAGAAAGAAGACUGGAAUAAAGAAAGAAAGAGAAGAAAUUUGCAAAUGGAACUGCAAAUGAUGGAUUCAAGUGAGCUCUGGCACAGAAAACUGUUCCCAGAGAAAAGUGUGUGCAUAUACCAAAUAUAUAUAUGCAUGAACAGCAAGAACAAGAGCUUACAAGCAGAUUCAUUUCAU